GACGAACGCUGGCGGCGUGCCUAAUACAUGCAAGUCGAGCGGACGAAUCGAAAGCUUGCUUUUGAUUCGUUAGCGGCGGACGGGUGAGUAACACGUGGGCAACCUGCCCUGUAGACGGGGAUAACACCGAGAAAUCGGUGCUAAUACCGGAUAACACGAAAUGUCGCAUGACGUUUCGUUGAAAGACGGCGCAAGCUGUCGCUACAGGAUGGGCCCGCGGCGCAUUAGCUAGUUGGUGAGGUAACGGCUCACCAAGGCGACGAUGCGUAGCCGACCUGAGAGGGUGAUCGGCCACACUGGGACUGAGACACGGCCCAGACUCCUACGGGAGGCAGCAGUAGGGAAUCUUCCGCAAUGGACGAAAGCCUGACGGAGCAACGCCGCGUGAGCGAAGAAGGCCUUCGGGUCGUAAAGCUCUGUUGUUAGGGAAGAACAAGUAACGCAGUAACUGGCGUUACCGUGACGGUACCUAACGAGAAAGCCACGGCUAACUACGUG
rnacentral:rRNA from 1 species